rnacentral:rRNA from 1 species
GACGUAGGAGGCGAGCGUUAUCCGGAUUCACUGGGCGUAAAGCGCAUGUAGGCGGUUGGAUAAGUCUGUUGUUAAAGCCCCGGCUCAACUGGGGAGGUCAAUGGAGACUGUCCGACUUGAGGGCAACAGAGGCACAUGGAACUCCCGGUGUAGCGGUGGAAUGCGUAGAGAUCGGGAAGAACACCCGUGGCGAAGGUGGUGUGCUGGGUUGCAACUGACGCUGAGAUGCGAAAGUG